rnacentral:rRNA from 1 species
GGUUAACGCUGGCGGCGUGCUUAACACAUGCAAGUCGAACGGUGACGAGGAGCUUGCUCCUCUGAUCAGUGGCGAACGGGUGAGUAACACGUGAGCAACCUGCCCCAGACUCUGGGAUAACAGUUGGAAACAGCUGCUAAUACCGGAUACGAGACGGAGAGGCAUCUCUACCGUCUGGAAAGUUUUCGGUCUGGGAUGGACUCGCGGCCUAUCAGCUAGUUGGUGAGGUAAUGGCUCACCAAGGCGACGACGGGUAGCCGGCCUGAGAGGGCGACCGGCCACACUGGGACUGAGACACGGCCCAGACUCCUACGGGAGGCAGCAGUGGGGAAUAUUGCACAAUGGGCGAAAGCCUGAUGCAGCGACGCCGCGUGAGGGAUGAAGGCCUUCGGGUUGUAAACCUCUUUCAGCAGGGAAGAAGCGAAAGUGACGGUACCUGCAGAAGAAGCACCGGCUAACUACGUG